rnacentral:rRNA from 1 species
GAGUUUGUCCUGGCUCAGAUUGAACGCUGGCGGCAGGCCUAACGCAUGCAAGUCGAACGGUAACAGGAUGUGCUUGCACAUCGCUGACGAGUGGCGGACGGGUGAGUAAUGCUUAGGGAUCUGCCUCUGUGUGGGGGAUAACUAUUGGAAACGAUAGCUAAUACCGCAUAAUGUUUACGGACCAAAGGGGGCGUUUGCUCCCGCGCAGAGAGGAACCUAAGUGAGAUUAGCUAGUUGGUAAGGUAAUGGCUUACCAAGGCGACGAUCUCUAGCUGUUCUGAGAGGAAGAUCAGCCACACUGGGACUGUGACACGGCCCAGACUCCUACGGGAGGCAGCAGUGGGGAAUAUUGCACAAUGGGGGGAACCCUGAUGCAGCCAUGCCGCGUGUGUGAAGAAGGCCUUCGGGUUGUAAAGCACUUUCAGUUGUGAGGAAAGGUUAGUAGUUAAUACCUGCUAGCUGUGACGUAAGCAACAGAAGAAGCACCGGCUAACUCCGUGCCAGCAGCCGCGGUAAUACGGAGGGUGCGAGCGUUAAUCGGAAUUACUGGGCGUAAAGCGCACGCAG